rnacentral:rRNA from 1 species
ACGGAAGGCAGCAGUGGGGAAUAUUGGGCAAUGGGCGAAAGCCUGACCCAGCAACGCCGCGUGAAGGAAGAAGGUCUUCGGAUUGUAAACUUCUUUUAUGGGGGACGAACAAAUGACGGUACCUCAUGAAUAAGCCACGGCUAACUACGUGCCAGCAGCCGCGGUAAUACGUAGGUGGCGAGCGUUGUCCGGAUUUACUGGGUGUAAAGGGCGCGUAGGCGGGAUGACAAGUCAGAUGUGAAAUCCAUGGGCUCAACCCAUGAACUGCAUUUGAAACUGCCAUUCUUGAGUAUCGGAGAGGCAAGCGGAAUUCCUAGUGUAGCGGUGAAAUGCGUAGAUAUUAGGAGGAACACCAGUGGCGAAGGCGGCUUGCUGGACGAAAACUGACGCUGAGGCGCGAAAGCGUGGGGAGCAAACAGGAUUAGAUACCCUGGUA